CCACACGGGCGUGCCCCAUGGCCGUGUUAAAAAGACAGUGUCGUCUAUGGGCGGGCAGCAUGAGCAUGUGCCAUGACCCUGUUGAUAAGUCAGUGUCACCCACGGCUGAAGGGCAUGGGCGUGCCCCAAGUCACACGGGCGUGUGAGUCCACACGGCCCACCUACACGGGCGUGUGACACUUUAUGUUAAGGAAAAUUUUCUGAGGAGCCCGAGGUUAAUCGAACGUGCUCGUAUUUCUCCCG
rnacentral:lncRNA from 1 species